rnacentral:rRNA from 1 species
GAAUCGCUAGUAAUCGUGGAUCAGCAUGCCGCGGUGAAUACGUUCCCGGGCCUUGUCACACCGCCCGUCACACCACGAGAGUUGGUAACACCCGAAGUCGGUGAGGUAACCUUUUGGAGCCAGCCGCCGAAGGUGGGACCAAUGAUUGGGGUGAAGUCGUAACAAGGUAGCCGUAUCGGAAGGUGCGGCUGGAUCACCUCCUU